AUAAUUGGAAAUCAACACACAAAGAUUGCCCUUGAAACCAUCCAACCCAUGCCUAAAUUUAGCAUGAUUUUAUGCUCAAAUCAAGCAACCACCAUCCACCUACUUCCACUAUAUGUGACCGACCAAGAAAUGGAGAAAAUGGAGGGAUCCCAAUCCUUAUUUUUAAUAGACUCUACUAUCUACUUCAAGUAUAAAUACCCCCCAUUAAUUCCUCAUUUCAAUCAUUCCUCAUCCCUUCAUUCCUUAAUCAUCCCUUACUCAUUUUCCC
rnacentral:lncRNA from 1 species